UACGUAGGGCGCAAGCGUUGUCCGGAAUUAUUGGGCGUAAAGCGCGCGCAGGCGGUUAAUUAAGUCAGAUGUGAAAGGCUACGGCUCAACCGUAGAGUUGCAUUUGAAACUGGUUAACUUGAGUGCAGGAGAGGUAAGUGGAAUUCCCGGUGUAGCGGUGGAAUGCGUAGAGAUCGGGAGGAACACCAGUGGCGAAGGCGGCUUACUGGCCUGCAACUGACGCUGAGGCGCGAAAGCGUGGGGAGCGAACAGG
rnacentral:rRNA from 1 species